UGACAUGGAACGCACGUGGCACCAACUUUAAAAGAGACUGCCUGAAAUAUAUUCAAACGCAACUCCCUUCAUUCAUCCAUCAUCUCAACUGAAAUCAGGUCCUAAUCAUGUAUAUGGCCAUGAAUAUUCCCAAUUUCCCAAGAAUCACUCAAAUCGAAGAAGAAGAAUGAAGAAUCCCUAGCUUGCAAAUUCCAAAUUAAAUCGCGCUGGUGGGGAACCAAGCCAAUUCCCCAUGGGGCUCAAAUUCCCCCUCGCACAGAGCUACAUUACGGUGACCUCAAUAUGAAAAAAAAUGAAGAUAGAAGCGAGGGCUUACCGGAACGGAGACAGUAUCAAGUUUGGUUUUCCUUUAUUGAAAAUCUUGUUUGCCUCUUUUUCUUUCCUUCUGUUUCAGUGAGUAUCGUGAGCUUCUUCGUUCGUCUUGCACCUCGGUUUCUUCGUGAGAUAAAGAGGAUUGGAUGUGAGAGCUUCUAAAUUUCUUGGGAUUGAUGAUGCGUGAAGAUGAAUUCUCAGUGUGAUGGUGAAGAAUGAUCCCCAAACUGAAGAAUGAUGAGUGCAAUAUAUACAGUGAUUGAAGCUAACAAAGUUAUUGAUCUGUUAGAAUUAAUAGUGCAAUAACUUUUAGUUGCAGAUUUCACAUAUGUUGCCUUAUGCUUGGAACUGGAUCAUGGCUUCACAAUGUGACAUGGAGGCAUCAUGAUGGAAAAGGCCAAAACAUGGCUUGCUUGCAUAUGAAGCAAGAUUGAAAUUGGAUUCAAAAGAGGAUAUGGGAGAAUGAAGAAUCAAAGAAUGGAAAUUUAGGACUAGGUUUAGAAAAUAAGUGAGUUGAGUUUGGUCAAAGUUGACCAAAAAGUCAACAUUUGACCAAAGUCAACUAUUGGUCAAAGUUACCAUUUAUUUUGUAAUUUUUGUAGGAAUGAUGUAAAUGAUAUUGUAUGGAUGUAAUGGACCUUUAUGAAUGCAAAUAGUUCUUAGGAUUUAAUGAAAGAGUCUUAUUUUCAAA